rnacentral:lncRNA from 1 species
UUUUAAUCCUCACUUGGAUUUGUUGUCAUUUUCACAUAUGGAGAUAGGGAGAAUGCAAUAGAUGCAUGUUGCUAUGCUCGUGUCUGGUAAUCACAUAAUGUCUAUUUCUAGGGUGUUGUUUGGUUUGAGGUAUAAGCCAAGAUAAACUUGGUAUGCAAAUCGGUACUCCCUCUGUCCCUAAUUACUUGUCCACUUUUCCUUUUAUAGUUGUCCCUAAUUACUUGUCCAUUUUGACAAAUCAAGAAAGGAC